rnacentral:rRNA from 1 species
UACGUAGGGGGCUAGCGUUGUCCGGAAUCAUUGGGCGUAAAGCGCGUGUAGGCGGUCCGGUAAGUCCGCUGUGAAAGUCGGGGGCUCAACCUUUGAAUGCCGAUGGAUACUGUCGAGCUAGAGUCCGGAAGAGGCGAGUGGAAUUCCUGGUGUAGCGGUGGAAUGCGCAGAUAUCAGGAGGAACACCAACGGCGAAGGCAGCUCGCUGGGACGGUACUGACGCUAAGGCGCGAAAGCGUGGGGAGCAAACAGG